rnacentral:sRNA from 1 species
UCUCACUGUGUCACCCAGGCUGGAGUGCAAUGGUGUGAUCUUGGCUCACUGCAACCUCUGCCUCCCAGGGUUCAAGUGAUUCUCCUGCCUCAGCCUCCCCAGUAGCUGGGACUACAGGUACUAUGCAAUUUACGACUCUGGAGACCGGCAAGGGCUCCUGGAUGCCUACCAUGAUGGGGCCUGCUGUUCCCUGAGCAUUCCUUUCAUUCCUCAGAACCCUGCCCGAAGCAGCUUAGCCGAGUAUUUCAAGGAUAGCAGAAAUGUGAAGAAGCUUAAAGACCCUACCUUGCGGUUCCGGCUGCUGAAGCACACGCGUCUCAACGUUGUUGCCUUCCUCAAUGAGUUGCCCAAAACCCAGCACGACGUCAAUUCCUUCGUGGUAGACAUAAGCGCCCAGACAAGCACAUUGCUGUGUUUUUCUGUCAAUGGAGUCUUCAAGGAAGUGGACGGAAAGUCCCGGGAUUCUUUGCGAGCCUUCACCCGGACAUUCAUUGCUGUUCCUGCUAGCAAUUCAGGGCUAUGUAUUGUAAACGACGAGCUAUUUGUGCGGAAUGCCAGUUCUGAAGAGAUCCAAAGAGCCUUCGCUAUGCCUGCACCCACGCCUUCCUCCAGCCCGGUGCCCACCCUCUCUCCAGAGCAGCAGGAAAUGUUGCAAGCAUUCUCUACCCAGUCUGGCAUGAACCUCGAGUGGUCCCAGAAGUGCCUUCAGGACAACAACUGGGACUACACCAGAUCUGCCCAGGCCUUCACUCAUCUCAAGGCCAAGGGCGAGAUCCCAGAAGUGGCAUUCAUGAAGUGAUCGUAGUCAUGCCUCAGAAGCAGUCCCCCCUGUAAAUAGUCCUUGGAUAUUACCGUCUGGUUGUCGUCUGUCAUCUCCUCCUGUCUGGCCCGAGGCCGCCCCGUGACUGUGACCGAGGGAGGG